UGGGGAAUUUUCCGCAAUGGGCGCAAGCCUGACGGAGCAACGCCGCGUGAGGGAGGAAGGCCUGUGGGUUGUAAACCUCUUUUCUCUGGGAAGAAGUUCUGACGGUACCGGAGGAAUCAGCAUCGGCUAACUCCGUGCCAGCAGCCGCGGUAAGACGGAGGAUGCAAGCGUUAUCCGGAAUUAUUGGGCGUAAAGCGUCCGUAGGCGGCUAUUUAAGUCUGCUGUCAAAGACCACAGCUCAACUGUGGGCGGGCGGUGGUAUCUGGGUAAGUAGAGUUCGGUAGGGGUAGAGGGAAGUCCCAGUGUAGCGGUGAAAUGCGUAGAUAUUGGGAAGAACACCAGUGGCGAAGGCGCUCUACUGGGCCGAGACUGACGCUGAUGGACGAAAGCUAGGGGAGCGAAAGGGAUUAGAUACCCGCGUAGUCC
rnacentral:rRNA from 1 species